rnacentral:rRNA from 1 species
AAUGCCUAGGAAUCUGCCUGGUAGUGGGGGAUAACGUUCGGAAACGGACGCUAAUACCGCAUACGUCCUACGGGAGAAAGCAGGGGACCUUCGGGCCUUGCGCUAUCAGAUGAGCCUAGGUCGGAUUAGCUAGUUGGUGAGGUAAUGGCUCACCAAGGCGACGAUCCGUAACUGGUCUGAGAGGAUGAUCAGUCACACUGGAACUGAGACACGGUCCAGACUCCUACGGGAGGCAGCAGUGGGAAUAUUGGACAAUGGGCGAAAGCCUGAUCCAGCCAUGCCGCGUGUGUGAAGAAGGUCUUCGGAUUGUAAAGCACUUUAAGUUGGGAGGAAGGGUUGUAGAUUAAUACUCUGCAAUUUUGACGUUACCGACAGAAUAAGCACCGGCUAACUCUGUGCCAGCAGCCGCGGUAAUACAGAGGGUGCAAGCGUUAAUCGGAAUUACUGGGCGUAAAGCGCGCGUAGGUGGUUUGUUAAGUUGGAUGUGAAAUCCCCGGGCUCAACCUGGGAACUGCAUUCAAAACUGACUGACUAGAGUAUGGUAGAGGGUGGUGGAAUUUCCUGUGUAGCGGUGAAAUGCGUAGAUAUAGGAAGG